AUUGAACGCUGGCGGCAGGCCUAACACAUGCAAGUCGAGCGGAUGAAGGGAGCUUGCUCCUGGAUUCAGCGGCGGACGGGUGAGUAAUGCUUAGGAAUCUGCCUGGUAGUGGGGGAUAACGUCCGGAAACGGGCGCUAAUACCGCAUACGUCCUGAGGGAGAAAGUGGGGGAUCUUCGGACCUCACGCUAUCAGAUGAGCCUAGGUCGGAUUAGCUAGUUGGUGGGGUAAAGGCCUACCAAGGCGACGAUCCGUAACUGGUCUGAGAGGAUGAUCAGUCACACUGGAACUGAGACACGGUCCAGACUCCUACGGGAGGCAGCAGUGGGGAAUAUUGGACAAUGGGCGAAAGCCUGAUCCAGCCAUGCCGCGUGUGCGAAGAAGGUCUUCGGAUUGUAAAGCACUUUAAGUUGGGAGGAAGGGCAGUAAGUUAAUACCUUGCUGUUUUGACGUUACCAACAGAAUAAGCACCGGCUAACUUCGUG
rnacentral:rRNA from 1 species